CAACGUUGGUCUGGGAAGUCAAGAAAAGGAGGCACUCUUUUACCAUUUACAUCUUGUCGGUUCCAUAGGAGAGAAGAUACGACUCAUUGUUCUGCCAAGUGUGAAAUGAGAAACAUACAAAGGCUCAAAACUUUAUUUGUUCCGCCAAUUUAGAUCAUGGUUUCUCCAAAAUUUAUAGACCAUUUACAUUUGGCCGUUUCCAUAAGUGAGGAGAUAUGUGUGACAUAUAGUUCUGCCAGUGUGAAAUAAGAUCGUAACAUCUUGUCGGAUGAUCCACAAAUUUGAAUACAAGUUUUUGUAAUAUUUUUGGUUGCCAAGCACCCCUAGAGUGUAUCUUUAUAUAUUUCGAUGGCAGUACAGUAUAAAUUACAAAAACAAUAACAACAUCAAAAGCAGCAACAAAGUCCGCAACGAAAGUUAUUGUCUAUACGAAAUAAAUAUGUAUGAGCAACACAAGUUGUCUUCUAUAUAGUA